rnacentral:rRNA from 1 species
UACGUAGGUGGCAAGCGUUGUCCGGAUUUACUGGGCGUAAAGCGCGUGUAGGCGGCUUGGCAAGUUGGAUGUGAAAGCCCACGGCUCAACCGUGGAAGCGCAUCCAAAACUGCUUCGCUCGAGUCUCGGAGAGGAAGGUGGAAUGCUUGGUGUAGAGGUGAAAUUCGUAGAUAUCAAGCAGAACACCUGCGGCGAAGGCGGCCUUCUGGACGAUGACUGACGCUGAGACGCGAAAGCGUGGGGAGCAAACAGG